rnacentral:rRNA from 1 species
UACCAGCACCCCGAGUGGUCGGGACGUUUAUUGGGCCUAAAGCAUCCGUAGCCGGUUCUACAAGUCUUCCGUUAAAUCCACCUGCUUAACAGAUGGGCUGCGGAAGAUACUAUAGAGCUAGGAGGCGGGAGAGGCAAGCGGUACUUAGUGGGUAGGGGUAAAAUCCGUUGAUCCAUUGAAGACCACCAGUGGCGAAGGCGGCUUGCCAGAACGCACUC